AUGGAGCCAAAGUUGCAGCUAAAUAGCAUGCUUGGAAAUUUAAUUGCCGCAGUGAGAGCUUUAAAUUCCAUCUUUCAAGAAUGGAAGAUAUCACCAAUUCCAGGUCAAUGGAAUAUAAGUGGGGAGCCAUGUACUAGUGCUGCAAUUGACAACACCAGCUUUAUAAACAUGGAUUACAAUCCCUUUAUCAAAUGUGAAUGUUCAUACAAAAAUGGCACCGUAUGCCAUAUCCUUGAACUGAAGGUUUAUGAAUUGGACGUUGUUGGUGUACUGCCAGAUGAGCUAUGGACUUUGACUUUCCUCACCAAUCUGGAUCUGCGCCAAAAUUUCUUAACUGGUCCCAUCCCUGCAUCCAUUGGCAACCUAACUGGCUUGCAAUACCUGAGCUUUGGCAUUAACGCAUUAUCAGGAAAGCUUCCAAAGGAACUUGGGAAGCUUACUAAUCUAUUAUCGCUGGCAUUCGGGUUUAACAACUUUUCUGGUCCUCUGCCAUCUGAGCUUGGGAAUUUAACCAAAUUGCAACAAUUGUAUGCUGAUAGUUCUGGAGUCAGUGGUGAGAUCCCACCAACAUUUGCUAACAUAAAGAACCUGAAUGUAAUGUUGGGAUCAAACACUGGGCUCACUGGCCGGAUACCUAGCUUCAUAGGGAAUUGGUCAAAACUUCAAACCUUGAGGCUUCAAGGAAACUCUUUUGAAGGCCCUAUACCAUCAUCAUUUUCCAAUUUAACUUCUUUGACAGACUUGAGAAUAGGUGAUUUAUCUAAUGGCAGCUCUUCACUGGCAUUCAUUAAGGAAAUGAAGUCUAAGCAUCUUGUACGAUUCCAGCUUACAGUCCAAUGGGCCUUAGCUGGAAGCCAGAGGUCCAUGGUGUUUGCCAUGGGCCCUAGGCUGGAGAGCAAGGAAACUCCAUGCUGCUACUGUUGUAUCAGAAAGAUUCUAAGGAAUAACAAUAUUUCUGACUCAAUUCCAGUUACCAUUGGAGAAUACCAAUCCUUAUGGCAGCUGGAUUUGAGCUUCAACAACAUAACUGGACAGAUUCCAGACUCGCUUUUCAGCAUGAAUUCACUCUCUCACCUGUUUCUUGGAAACAAUAAAUUAAAUGGUACCCUACCAGCAUCAAAAAGUCCGACUCUUCAAAAUAUAGAUUUGUCCUACAAUUAUUUAGUUGGGAGCUUUCCUUCUUGGAUCAACGAAAAAAAUCUUCAACUCAAUUUAGUUGUCAACAACUUCACUAUCGGAAAUUCAAACAGCAGUGGUUUGCCUUCAGGUUUGAACUGUCUUCAGCGGAACUUCCCUUGCAAUCAAGGGUCUGGAAGUGGAAUCUAUUAUAAUUUUUCAAUCAAAUGUGGUGGUCCGCAGAUCACUUCUUCUGGGAUUGUGUAUGAUAGCAAUAACGAGACACUUGGUCCAGCUACAUAUUAUGUGACUGACACAAAGAGGUGGGCAGUUAGCAAUGUUGGUUCUUUUCUUGAGAGCAACAAUCCUCAGUAUGAAAGUUCUACAUCUUCUCACAUUACAAAUACUUCAGAUGUAAGGCUGUUCCAGACAUCACGAAAUUCUGCUUCUUCAUUAAGAUACUAUGGCUUGGGGCUGGAGAAUGGCAAUUACACUGUGAUUCUCCAGUUUUCAGAGACAGCUUUCCAAGGUUCAUUUAGGUGGAACACUCUCGGGAUACGCCUCUUUGAUAUUUAUAUCCAGGGGAAUCUUGUUUCGAAGGAUUUCAACAUACAAAAGGAGGCAGGUGGCGUCACAUUUAGAGCUGUCCAGAAGGGAUUUAAGGCUCAGGUAUCUGAAAACUAUAUUGAAAUCCAUCUUUUUUGGGCUGGGAAGGGGACUUGCUGCCUACCUUCUCGAGGUACUUAUGGACCUACUAUUUCAGCUAUCAGUGUAACUCCAGAUUUCAUACCUACUGUCAGUAACAGCCUUCCAAGCAGAAAGAAGAAUAGGACUGGUCUGAUUGUGGGGAUAAUUGUUGGUGCACUUGUAAGCUUUCUUACCAUUUUUGCAGUAUUGUGCUUUUUUCGCAGGAAAAAUGGAGCUCACACCAAGGAAGAUGAAGAUUUCCUUGGGAUAGAUGCUAGACCAUACACUUUCAGUUACAGCGAACUAAGGGCUGCUACAGAUGACUUUAGUCCUUCUAAUAAGCUUGGAGAAGGGGGAUUUGGACCUGUGUAUAAGGGAACUCUUAUUGAUGGCAGAGUAAUUGCUGUGAAGCAGCUUUCAGUAGCAUCUCAGCAAGGAAACACCCAAUUUGUAACUGAGAUUGCUACUAUAUCUUCUGUACAACACCGUAAUCUUGUGAAACUUUAUGGAUGCUGUACGGAAGGAGAUAAACGACUUCUUGUUUAUGAGUAUCUAGAAAAUGGGAGUCUUGAUCAAGCAUUAUUUGAACAAAGCAGUUUGAAUAUCGAUUGGCCAACUCAUUUUGAUAUAUGCAUGGGAAUUGCAAGAGGUAUAGCUUAUCUUCACGAGGAGUCAAGGCUUCGAAUUGUACAUAGAGAUGUGAAGGCCAGUAAUAUUUUGCUCGACUCAGAAUUUAUCCCCAAAAUUUCAGAUUUUGGUUUAGCCAAACUUUAUGAUGAUAAAAAGACACAUUUAAGCACCCGUGUUGCAGGGACAUAUGGGUAUCUUGCGCCGGAGUAUGCAAUGCGUGGGCACCUUACAGAAAAGGUUGAUGUGUUUUCCUUUGGUGUUGUGGCUUUAGAGAUUGUAAGUGGCAGGCCUAAUGCUGACUCAAGCUUGGAAGAAGAGAAGCUAUAUCUUCUUGACUGGGCUUGGCACCUACACGAAAACGAACGUGAUAUCGAACUGGUGGACUCGAAAUUAUCUGAGUAUAGUGAGGAAGAAGUGAAACGAAUGAUUGGAGUAGGUCUAUUGUGCAGUCAGGCAUCACCAAUGCUAAGGCCAUCAAUGUCACGUGUGGUGGCAAUGCUUUCAGGAGAUGCUGAAGUGAGCGCUAUAACUUCGAGGCCGGGAUACUUGAGUGAUUGGAAAUUCGAUUACAAAACCAGCUUUGAGUGACGUUAAAACCGACAGAACUGAUACUAGCCUAUACAACAUUGCAACAAGCACAAGCAUGUUUGGUGAUUCACAACCUUCACCAGUGCUUGCAACUGUACCUAUGCUUCAUGAUGCUGUUGGAGAAUAGACCACAAUUGGUUCUUGCUUUAUUUUCUUCUUUCUUUCCUAUGUUUCCUAGUUCUUUUUCUUUUUGAUGAUAAACAUAAAAAAUAAAAAAUAAAAAAAUUUCUCAUAUUCUUUUACUCCGGAUCUUGUAUGUCAUAUCAUAUGGAGAUCCAGUUGCUUGUAUAUUACAAAUUUUCCUUUCUUCC